rnacentral:rRNA from 1 species
GGACCUGACUGCUAUCGGAUUGAUACUAAGCCAUGCGAGUCAUUGUAGCAAUACAAGGCAGACGGCUCAGUAACGCGUAGUCAACCUACCCUAUGGACGGGAAUAACCUCGGGAAACUGAGUAUAAUGCCCGAUAGAACAUUAUACCUGGAAUGGUUUAUGUUCCAAAUGAUUUAUCGCCGUAGGAUGGGACUGCGGCCUAUCAGUUUGUUGGUGAGGUAAUGGCCCACCAAGACUAUUACAGGUACGGGCUCUGAGAGGAGUGGCCCGGAGAUGGGUACUGAGACACGGACCCAGGCCCUAUGGGGCGCAGCAGGCGAGAAAACUUUGCAAUGUGCGAAAGCACGACAAGGUUAAUCCGAGUGGUUUCUGCUAAAGGAACCUUUUGUCAGUCCUAGAAACACUGAUGAAUAAGGGGUGGGCAAGUUCUGGUGUG